rnacentral:rRNA from 1 species
AUUGAACGCUGGCGGCAGGCCUAACACAUGCAAGUCGAGCGGAUGAAGGGAGCUUGCUCCUGGAUUCAGCGGCGGACGGGUGAGUAAUGCCUAGGAAUCUGCCUGGUAGUGGGGGAUAACGUCCGGAAACGGGCGCUAAUACCGCAUACGUCCUGAGGGAGAAAGUGGGGGAUCUUCGGACCUCACGCUAUCAGAUGAGCCUAGGUCGGAUUAGCUAGUUGUUGGGGUAAAGGCCUACCAAGGCGACGAUCCGUAACUGGUCUGAGAGGAUGAUCAGUCACACUGGAACUGAGACACGGUCCAGACUCCUACGGGAGGCAGCAGUGGGGAAUAUUGGACAAUGGGCGAAAGCCUGAUCCAGCCAUGCCGCGUGUGUGAAGAAGGUCUUCGGAUUGUAAAGCACUCUAAGUUGGGAGGAAGGGCAGUAAGUUAAUACCUUGCUGUUUUGACGUUACCAACAGAAUAAGCACCGGCUAACUUCGUG